rnacentral:rRNA from 1 species
UGGGGAAUUUUGGACAAUGGGCGAAAGCCUGAUCCAGCAAUGCCGCGUGUGUGAAGAAGGCCUUCGGGUUGUAAAGCACUUUUGUCCGGAAAGAAAUCCUUGGCUCUAAUACAGUCGGGGGAUGACGGUACCGGAAGAAUAAGCACCGGCUAACUACGUGCCAGCAGCCGCGGUAAUACGUAGGGUGCAAGCGUUAAUCGGAAUUACUGGGCGUAAAGCGUGCGCAGGCGGUUUGCUAAGACCGAUGUGAAAUCCCCGGGCUCAACCUGGGAACUGCACUGGUGACUGGCAGGCUAGAGUAUGGCAGAGGGGGGUAGAAUUCCACGUGUAGCAGUGAAAUGCGUAGAGAUGUGGAGGAAUACCGAUGGCGAAGGCAGCCCCCUGGGCCAAUACUGACGCUCAUGCACGAAAGCGUGGGGAGCAAACAGGAUUAGAUACCCUGGUAGUCCACGCCCUAAACGAUGUCAACUAGUUGUUGGGGACUUCAUUUCCUUAGUAACGUAGCUAACGCGUGAAGUUGACCGCCUGGGGAGUACGGUCGCAAGAUUAAAACUCAAAGGAAUUGACGGGGUCAUAGCUGUUUCC